UGUAGGAAUAAUCCAGUUGUCGAUGUGUGAAUGAACUCAUGUAUAAAAAUCCUGGAAAAGAGUCAACGAACAAUUAAUAGUUGUUACGGUACAAGUGUUUUAAAACUUACAUUAGUUACACAGCCAGUAGUUGACCAUUCCUGCAUAUGCCUGUCUAUUCCAUCAGAACAUCUUGAUACUGCAUGACACCAAGAACAAUUAAACCCAAUGUUCAGUGAUGUACAGUCUUCACAUGUUGUUGCUUUAUUACAAG